rnacentral:rRNA from 1 species
UACGUAGGGUGCGAGCGUUGUCCGGAUUUAUUGGGCGUAAAGAGCGUGUAGGCGGCCAGGUAGGUCAGCUGUGAAAACUCGAGGCUCAACCUCGAGACGCCGGUUGAAACCAUCUGGCUAGAGUCCGGAAGAGGAGAGUGGAAUUCCUGGUGUAGCGGUGAAAUGCGCAGAUAUCAGGAAGAACACCCGUGGCUAAGGCGGCUCUCUAGUACGGUACUGACGCUGAGACGCGAAAGCGUGGGGAGCGAACAGG